rnacentral:tRNA from 1 species
AGGUCAGUAGCUCCAAUGGCUAGAGCGCUGGUCUCCAAAACCAGAUGUUGUAGGUUCGAGUCCUACCUGACCUG